rnacentral:lncRNA from 1 species
UCCUUGGGCCCCUGCACCCCAUGGGAGACCAGGAUAAGUACCUGGCUCCUGCCAUCGGAUCAGCGCGGUGCGCCGGCCGCAGCACACCGGCUGCAGCAGCCAUUGGAGGGUGAACCAACGGCAAAAGGAAGACCUUUCUCUCUGUCUUUCUCUCUCACUGUCCACUCUGCCUGUCAAAAAAUAAAAAUAAAAAAUAACUGUGAACUCUCCCCCCAGAGGCCACAGCUCUGCAGAACCAGAGCUUCCCAGGGGCUCCGAUGGGCUGCGCCACGGAGGAGAAGAGGAACCCAGAAAUGGGCUAGCCUCGGAUGUUUCUGGAGUCUUCAUUUUAGUUGCAGUGAACUAUCCCCGAGCAGGGAGGGAGGCCUGCAGAGCCGUGGGCUCUGGGCCCACCCGCGGGUGCCCCCCUCGCCUGGAAGCAGGACCGUGGGGGCUGCUGUGCGCUCAGCUCCAGCCUGGCCACUAGACAGCACUCCCGCUGCAGAAGGCCUCCCAGCCACGCCUCCUGGGGCGCUCAAUGUCACUCAAUUAUCGCUUCCCUGGCCCCCAAGUGGAGUGCAAAUUCCCAGGCACACUACCAUCAGCAGCGCUCUGACACGCUGGGCCAUCCAAGUUUCCAAGACCAGACAUCAGGGAUGCAUGCAGGACACAAAUCCAGAACCCCCCAGGGCGGCGUAUUUGCUACCUGGUGAACAACGCCAAGUCCCCUGGGACACACUCCGGACUAACACUGCUCACGUAGGAGGAUCCCCGCGGGACGGGCCACGGAGCGGGAGGCUCCACAGCACAAGGGGAGGGCCCGGCAGCGUGGCCAAGCUCUGGUCAGGGCCACCCAAAGCGCCUGGAGUGGCUGAAGCCAGAGGCCCGGCCCGGAAGCGCGAACCCCGUGCCGGGGCCAUGUCCCCAGGCGGGGGCCUCAGAGACUCACUCUGGCCCCGGUCAGGGUGUGCACCCCUGCUCUGCAUCUGCCUGGGGCCUCACCCGUGCUCCGGGGAGCAGCUCGGACCGGCCGGCGCCCCGGCUCCCGGAUCGAUGCACGACCUCAGACGGAAAUCGGAAUCAGCAGCAGGACUUGCCCCGGAGCCAAUUGGAGAGGCUGUUACACUUUCCACACGCUUUGCCCUGGCUCCAGUGAUUGGUGCAGGGAUGAUCACGUGGCCUGGGCCAGUCCAAUCAGAAUGA